CCUCCGAUCCUCCUCCUGGGCUGAAUGCGCACGCGCGGCAAGAGCUGCGCGCGCAUUCAGCCCGUCGCAUAGGAAAGCAUUUACAAUGCUUUCCUAUGGACGCUGGCGUGCUCUCACUGUGAAAAUCACAGUGAGAAGCACGCAAGCGCUUCUAGUGGCUGUCAAUGAGACAGCCACUAGAGGAUUAGGGGGAAGGCUUAACCCAUUCAUAAUUAUAGCAGUUUCUCUGAAACUGCUAUAAUUAUGAAAAAAUGGGUUAACCCUAGCUGGACCUGGCACCCAGACCACUUCAUUAAGCUGAAGUGGUCUGAGUGCCUAGAGUGGUCCUUUAACAGGAGUAUAAUAUUAAACCAUGACCGCAUUGUAAAAAAACACUAAGUGCACCCAGAUAAUCUAAUAAAGUGGGCUGGGUGCAGUGGCCCUGUCUUCCAGACAGCCACUAGCCACUAGAGGCGCAUCCACAGCAACAACCGAAUGAAAAUGCUGGUAACAGGAAAGCAUUGGAUAUUCAUUGAGGAAGCAAAGCGUUUUAUUCCUAGCACUAUACUGUUCCUUUAAUGUUAUAUAUUUGCUAAAGGGUUCGUCUAGGCACCAUGACCACUUCAGUAUUUUGGUUUGAAGUAUCCAGUGUGUAUCAGCUUGAAACUUCGCACAUACAAGGAUAUAGCAGCACCUGCAGCGUCAUUAAAUAAUCAGGAACUGGCUAAUGUUAAACUUGUGCAUAUUUGGGUUAUGCCGCCAGCACCCACAGCAUGCUUAUGGCAGAAAACCAGGUGAGAUUUUUCCUUUUCUGGGAGGGAUUGGGAAAUCCAGCAAGGGCAACUCUAAAUAUUUGUUUUUAUAAAAACACUGCUUUUGGUUGGAGUAACGUUUAGGUUUUUUUUGCUUUUUUUUUUUUUUUUUUAUAAAUAUAAUCGUUAAAAGGACACUUCCAAGUACCAUAAACACUGUUAUGUUCCUUGCAUUGGUUAUGAUUCCAGGAGCUCCCUUUUUGCUGUCUGCCUCAAAGAAAUACUCCAAUCACCAUAACCAUUGAACCAGUAAAUGCAGUUUUGUGCAAUGAAUCUUACACAGAAUUUACAUUAGCCAGCCCAGAAUUAAAGUCCCUAGCUUGCUUGUUACACGCCAGUGACGCUGUUGGAGGUGGAGUUAGUGAGGGGUUAAACUCGGUAUGUGCAGCAUUCCACAGUGAAACGUUGCGCAUACAGACUCCAGGUGCUAUGAGCACUUCAAGCCAGUGAAGUAGUCAUGGUGGUUGGAGUAACCCGUUAAAUCUCUACCUUAUAACUUCAGAAACAUGAUAUAUAGAUAUUUUUAUUUUCAAAUAUAGCUGUAGAAGUCUGAUCCAUUGUAGAGGUGAUCGUUACCUCUACCUAGCAGUGUGUGGUGUGUUGCGUCUUUUGGUGCAAUAGUUGGCUAAACUAAGUUGUUAGUGAAGAGACAAAGCAUGAGAAAUGAAUCUUCAUCCUGAUGUUGCCUUCAGGAAGAGAAGACCAUGAUUUUACAUAAACACAUAAAAAAAAUCGAUUUCUAAAACUAUGUAACCCUACAGACACAAUUUAAGAUAAAGUAAUAAUAUACUUUCAUAUGGCACAGAACAAUGCUAAAAUGCACUAUAAUAGCCUAGAUUUAAGCUAAAUGUUUGGUAUGCAUCUUUUCCAUACGCCUGCCAUUGUAAUUUACUAUAGAUUUUAUAUAUCUUGUACUAAAAUGUUUUACACAUUGUUUGUGUAUUUUAACACUACAAGC
rnacentral:lncRNA from 1 species